AUGUUAAGCUCGUCAAGCUCGUCGAGCCUUAGUGUAUGCUCCCAAUGGUUUGUCAUUGUGUUACUCGGAUAGUCCCCAGAGUAAAUGUCAGGGGACUAUCCGAGUAACAAAAUGACAAACCAUAGGGAGCAUACCUGCUAUUACCAAAAGGUGGGGACUAUUACUAAACGUGAAAAAACGUGAAACCACAAGGACCAUCCGGGCAAUUAACUCUUAACUAAUAUUUAAUAACAUUACCCCUUAUUUAAAAUUUUCUAGUAAACGAGCCGAGCCGAGCAUAUUUAAACUUGGUUACAGGCCGAACCGAACCUAAAAAUAAGUUUGUUUAGUAAACAAGCCCGAGCUACACUUAACGAGCUCGUGAGCCUAAACGAGUCUAUUAUUUUUAUUUAAUAUAUUAAUUUUAAUUAAUAGAUAAUAAACGAGCCGAACUCGAGCUUUGAAAACAAAGCUCGAACGAGCCAAGAUCGAGCUCGAGUCUGGUCGAGCUCGGGCUAGACUCUAUAUGCAAGAUCAAGAUGCUUUACUAACCUUGAGUAUUGUCUUCGCUUAGGUGGUGGAGAGUACUCACGGCCACGCGAUGGUGACCUGGCAUAGCGAGGAGGUGGUGAGCGGGAGUAACGACGAGGCGGUGACCGCCUACGAUCACUAAAUCUGCUGCCGCCACCCCUACAAUAACAUGAGCCGUAUAUAUUAACUAUUUUUUUGUGAAAAAACCAAUAUUAAACAGCAAAUAAUAAAAUUUACCUCCGUUCUCUAAAUCUCAUAUCAUCUGGUUUCUUCCUAUUCUCCUCAGCGAAAAUGAUAGAGAUCGCAUACGUAUUAGUAUAUUGUAAUAGUGUAAGGGGUAUUAGUGUAAUUACUUUUCUAUAAAUAAGGCAUUAGCCAUUAGUGAAGGAUAGGAAGAGAAUUAGUUGGUGAUUAGGCUCAUUGCCUUGUGCAUGAGAAGGGCUUAGCCCUGGACCACUUUGGUGGCUAGUAUUUGUAUUAUCUUCUUCAGUUUAUCAAAUAUAGUUACAGAUUUACUUUCAUCAUCUCCAUUAAAUCCUGUUUCCUAUCAGAAAACAACCGUCAUUUGCCUGCCUUGAAGAACCUGACCAUCCAUCUGGUAUUUUGCUUCUGCGGCAUCGGCAGGGUCUACAAACUGAACAAAACCAAAUCCACGCGGUUCUCUGCCACAUAUUAAAAAAUAAAAUAAAUAAAAAUUAAUAAAAAAAAGAGUUGUAUGUAAAAUACAAAGAACCAAAAAACAGGUUAAAAAUUUUGACAAAGUAAAUUCAGUACAGUUUUUGUAUAGAAUUCAGAACCAAAGAGUUUUUACUGUUUGCGUAAAAGGACGAGUUACGAACUUCUCCUUGUUAUCGGUAUAAAUUGUGACUGCUGACCUUAAAUUUGUAGGUAUAAAUAUGAGUUGAAAAUCUUCAAGACUUGAGAUCUUGAAAUCUUCAAUAUCAUACACACCACCUUCAACGAAACUCUAUGAAUUCAAUAUACCAACAAAACUUUUACUUCUACACAAACAUAGUUGUCGAUAUCGAAUAGCGACAAGGCACCUAUUGGCUACGUAGCGAAUAGCGAUAAAAUAGCGACGACUAUUUUAUAAAUAGCGAUUACACUAGAAAAGGAAUUUUGAAAAUUUUUAUAUGUAUAUUACAUCAAAAUACCCUUGUAUAUAUGCUAUUUUACAUGUAUAUUUAACAAAAACCUAUAAAUCCAGCUAUUUUAUAGCUAUAUCUAAUUGAUAUUAACAUCAAAAAAAAAAAAACUAACUGUCGCUAAGUUCGCUAUUGAUCGCUAAGACCCAUAUAGCGACACUUGGUUGCAUGACUACAUAGCGCGCUAUAGCGGUCGCUAUAGCCGCUAUUAACAACUAUGUACACAAAUAAAUCUCAACAACCUUUACUUAAAAAACAAUUUGAGGUAACAUAAAAAAAUUGCCAGCCGCCUAUAGAACAGCAUCUAUACUAAUAGGCUUUACAAACAAGGGGGAUUGUAAAAACAGCAUUGAC
rnacentral:lncRNA from 1 species